rnacentral:rRNA from 1 species
UACGGAGGGGCUAGCGUUGUUCGGAAUUACUGGGCGUAAAGCGCGCGUAGGCGGACCUGCAAGUCGGGGGUGAAAGCCCGAGGCUCAACCUCGGAACUGCCUUCGAUACUGCGGGUCUCGAGUCCGGGAGAGGUGAGUGGAAUUCCCAGUGUAGAGGUGAAAUUCGUAGAUAUUGGGAAGAACACCGGUGGCGAAGGCGGCUCACUGGCCCGUAACUGACGCUCAUGCACGACAGCGUGGGGAUCAAACAGG